UUCGGACGGGCUCCCGAGGGACCCCAUGGAUAUUACACUGUAAAAAUGGUCCCUCUUUAGAAGACACUUUUCUGCCAACAACAUAAUUCCAGGAGAUUAAAGAUGCAAUUCAGGUGAACUGUUGCACAGUAACUCCAUGUCAACAGCUGAACUCUGAUCGGGGCAAGGGAUAUAUAGGCAAUGAAAGGGGAGAAGAAUCAGAAGAGACGGAGAAGGAGCAUGC